GACCCGCGCUCGCUCGGCACGGGCCUUGUCCACCCUGCUGCUCCCGUCCCUGUGGUGGAACCACCUGCCGAUCGUGUGGUGGUGCGCCGCGAUCGCGCUCCUGCUCCUGCAAGUCUGCACGCACAUACAAAUUGCAGCUACAGUGCCGGAAGCGGCGGCGAGCGCGAGCGUCUCCGGCAUGAGGAUCCCGGACAGCCGAUCGACCACGUAGUUGUUGGAGCUCCGCCUCCCGCCGCCGCCGACGGCCAGCACCUUGGAAAUGUCCGACGCGGACACGCUCCAGGAUCGCGACAGGAACUCCAUGGGCUCCACCGGCGUCUGCGGCGACUGCACCGCCGCCGACGCCGGGGCCCCGGCGCCUUCCAUCAGCAGAAGCUAGUGCUUCGUACUUGCAGUAUUCUUUGCUGACUCUCGCCGGCGAUACUCUGAUCGAUACGCACCUGCCUCGCCGGCUACUUAUAUAUGGGGGCGGCGGGGCGCGCGGAGGCAGUCUGCGCGAAGCACGGGAAAGAGGCUGUGUGGGCGGCAGGACACACCAAGGCUUCGGUUUCUGACGGAGCUGCCGCCCCUGUCGUGUGGCAGCGUCGGAGGGGGCGACACGUUGCAGUCUCGCAGCGUUGCCAUGGCCGUCCCAUGGUCCCAGUACGUUGGACUGGAGAGAUGGGAGAGCGUGUAGGAGACAGGCGCGUCGGGAUUUGGCUAACAUCUUUGUUGUAAAAACUUGAACGAACGAAGAACACCUCGGAAUCGUCAGCCGUCAGCGUGCCUGCUGUCUAGUGGAGUUACUGUACAUUCUUUGCUAC